CUGCAGAUCAUUACAAUGUUAGAGUCGACACAAGAAUAGGGGAAACCUCUAGCAAGAGGAAAAGGGUUUAUGAAAACAUACCACUAGACGAGGAACUACCACCACUAGAACUGGAACUGCCUGAAGAACUAGAACCACUACUAGCAGCAGCUGCAACUGCAGUACCAUCUCUUUCGAUCUCUACAGAUGGAUAAUCUUCGAUUGGUAUGUCCUCUCCAAUGUCAACAUCCUCUUCCCCUGCAUCUCCUCUCCUUGUUCUCUUCUCCGCACUACCCAUUUCUGCUACCGAAGCCUAAGAGACACAGACGAAGAAAACAAUUUUGAGUAUUGAAACCACAGUGAUCAAAUGGUGGUUUUGAUAGGAAGGCAGUGCAAAUUUGCUUACCAUGUUCCUAGGUGGAGUUGACACGUUCCUGAUAAACCCUUGGCGCUUGAUUUUGCUAGCCAUCUUCUUGUAGUUCGUCACAAAACGAUCAAGCUCCCAUAGAGUCUCAUUGUCGACAGCUUCUAUAUCCAGCUCAAUUUCGUCCCCAUCUUGAGCUAAAUGUCCGUUUCUCUUCCUGAGAAUCUGAAGCAACUGACCAAGCUUCUCAGGAGGCAAGUCUUGUAGAUUCAUACCAAGCUUUGACUUCUCUUCCAUCGUCAUCAACCUCUUAUUUGGAUCCUUAGCCUUAGGCUUCGGCAACUUCCCCUUCCUUCCUUUUGACACUUCACUCACAUCAGGAGGUGCUUCUACUUCAAUUUCAAGCUGUGGAGGUGGUGGUUGAGGCUGCGGAAGUUCAGGCUGUAUCACCGGAGGAGGGGGAGGAGGAGAAGGAGAUUGAACGCGUGACGGCUCGACUAAUUGAGGAGGCAAUGUAGGUUGUGGCGGCUUCACUGAAUCAAGCUUCUUCGCAAUAGAUAUUUGUUCGGUUCCUUUCCUAGGAUUCGCCACC
rnacentral:sRNA from 1 species